rnacentral:rRNA from 1 species
CAGCAGCCACGGGAAUACGGAGGGAGCUAGCGUUGUUCGGAAUUACUGGGCGUAAAGCGCACGUAGGCGGUUAUUCAAGUCAGAGGUGAAAGCCCGGGGCUCAACCCCGGAACUGCCUUUGAAACUAGAUGACUGGAAUCUUGGAGAGGUCAGUGGAAUUCCGAGUGUAGAGGUGAAAUUCGUAGAUAUUCGGAAGAACACCAGUGGCGAAGGCGACUGACUGGACAAGUAUUGACGCUGAGGUGCGAAAGCGUGGGGAGCAAACAGGAUUAGAUACCCGCGUAGUCCCUGUCUCUUAUAC